rnacentral:rRNA from 1 species
GACGAACGCUGGCGGCGUGCUUAACACAUGCAAGUCGAACGCUGAAGCUCAGCUUUUGUUGGGUGGAUGAGUGGCGAACGGGUGAGUAACACGUGAGUAACCUGCCCCCUUCUUUGGGAUAACGCCCGGAAACGGGUGCUAAUACUGGAUAUUCACUGGUCUUCGCAUGGGGGUUGGUGGAAAGGGUUUUUCUGGUGGGGGAUGGGCUCGCGGCCUAUCAGCUUGUUGGUGGGGUGAUGGCCUACCAAGGCUUUGACGGGUAGCCGGCCUGAGAGGGUGACCGGUCACAUUGGGACGGAGAUCCGGCCCAGACUCCUACGGGAGGCAGCAGUGGGGAAUAUUGCACAAUGGGCGCAAGCCUGAUGCAGCGACGCCGCGUGAGGGAUGGAGGCCUUCGGGUUGUGAACCUCUUUCGCUCAUGGUCAAGCCGCAACAAUGGUUGUGGUGAGGGUAGUGGGUAAAGAAGCGCCGGCUAACUACGUG